GUUCAACACGUUGGACACAUUUGUUUUGUUGAAAAUUGAAAUGACGAGGAAUAUUGAAGCGGGGAAAUUGGGAAUCCUGGUGAUGUAACCGUUAGAGACGACCCGAUACGUUGGCUUCCACCAAACCAACAUCGCGACUUUUCGCCACCCUCUUCCGAUGGUAUUGUCAGAAUCAAAUGGGAGAGUCCAAUUACCGGCCAAAGCCCAAACCAGACCGGUCGUUGACGACGGCAAAGAUGCUGAAAGUUUGAAGGUGGCGGAAGAUCAGAAUGGACAUCCUUCCAUGGGAGUUGAAGUCCGGAGAAAUUACAUGGGCGAUUACCUUGAUGUCCCUUUUCGACCUUAUCUCAUGAAGAUUCUACAAAAACAAGCGAUUUAUGCCAAUUCAAAACUAUUAGUUGGACGCCUUGUUCACUGCUCGUUGGAAGGUGACAAGAAAGUUCUCUUUGCAGACAGAGUUUUGAAGUUCACAAGUACAGGGAAGAUGAAGCGGCACAUUCUUCUUAUAACUGAUUUUGCCCUUUACAUUGUGGACCCAGACAUUGAUGCACUUAAAAGACGGAUUUCCCUGGCAGCUGUUGAAAAGCUCUGUUUGAGUGAACGAAGUGAUAAUUUCUUAGCAAUUAUUGCCCCUACUGAAUAUGAUCUACUGAUAGCCAGCACUCGGAAGACGGAAAUUGUAUCUAUCUUUGUAGACACUACCAGGAGUCAAUCCGACUACGAACUUGAGGUACUAUCCUCUAAUAGAUUUGAGUACAAUGCAACUUCCGAACUAGUAAAAGAAAUUUACUUUGACGAAACUGAAGAUGGUACGAGAACAACAAUAGUGAGAAAAUGAAUUGCACCCUUAAUGUAGCAGUCUGACAACAUGAACUGCUAGUGUGCCUGCAACACCCCCCUUGCCUUUCCCACGGAGGAAUCAGCUUAUAUCAUUUCAUGUAUAAAGAAUUCAAGCUGCUGAGGUCAUGGACACCUAUAGUAAUGUCGCUACUAUCUCUUUCUAUAUGCAAGGAAACCUCAAAAGUUUCACAUUGGAAACUUCCUAAGUCCACUCCUCAAGAACUACAGGACACGCCCACUUCGCAACCUGUCAGUACCUUUAUAGCUGUAUAGGUGAGUUUCCCGUGAGAAGUUUAAGCAAAAGCAGUGGAUAUCAUAUGCUUGGGACACUUCUGUUGUUUCCCUGCAACUUUUGGGGCUCAAUAUCCUGUCGCCCGCUUAACUGGUGAAACUAUAGGACUCAUCAGUGUCAAGUUCAGUGGGACAACCAAUCCCUUGUAGAUAAAAAUGUUUUGAGGAAAUUGUCUUUUCAUGGGCAAGUUUCCUCAGACCGUCCACGGACGUGGAGAAUGUCUCGACCUAUGGCAGCAGCAACUCUAAUUGGUUUCCCAGUUCCCUGUCUAUUAGAAUCCUGCCUCAACUCUUCUUGCCUGAAAUUCAUUAGUUCAGCACAGACAUGAUAACAUCAAAAUACUGGAACACUUAAGGGAACACUGAAAGAUGUAUCUCAAGGUUCUAUCCUCCAAACCAACAGACGUCAAAAGACAAUUUACUGUAACUGGCCUAAAAAAAGUCAAAGCCGAGCUUUCCCUUGGGGAAUUUUUCCAACAUCUUCUAACCAUAGAAACCAAUUGCAAUUGGAACAUCAUCUUUAUUUUAGUACAGUUAAAACCAGUGUCUUACUUGAAUCGACAUGUUGUAGAAGUGGAAAGUUAAAAUGGUAACUUUAACACCCCCAGCUGUUCCUCAAGGCAGUGACGGAAGAAAAUGUGAAUGAUAAAUCAGGGAGUAUUUCUUUUGAUGCUAUUCUCCCUCUUAAUAAUGCAAUCACAAGUUAAAUUGUUGCUAAAAUCAGCAGCACUCAUAUGGAAAUACUAAAAAUUAAGAAUUUAUCUGGCACUAAAUCUUGAUAUGAACUUGAUCUUAGUAGAGAUAAACAAUAUAACAUUAACGACGAGCCUCUUUUUCACCUUCUUUGAAUAGCAAAAAAGGAUCAGCAGUGUGAUCGAUUGCACCAAAUGCUAGAACACAUCAUCCAAAGUUCUGCAUUAAUAACGGGAACUAAUUUUGUUAGGCAUUGCAAACUUUUACCUAUUAAAUAGGGCCAAUACCCACUUAAUUUCUGAUAAUAUAAAAUCCCUAUUACCAAAAAAAAAAUUAAAAAUUCCCUGGUCUUGCCUCUAUUUAUUCUAUGACCAUAGUUUCAAGGUUCCUAGCUAGUUACGUUCCAGCAUUUAUAUUUAUACGGCAGAAGUUUUUUGAGUUAAAAAAUUGAACCUGUAAAUUGAAAUUGUGAACAAUAAUCGUGGUGGAAAUGAUCUCUUUUUCUUGAAAAAGAGAGAGGAUAUCAUAAAGGGACGAUUAGUUUUUUCUUUUUCAACCAUAAAGGGACGAUUAGUUAGAUGACAAAUUUUUAUACUACUACUAGCAAUACAUAGGUCAAAAUAACUAUUACAAAAAAAAAAAAA